GUUUGAGAACACAAGAAUAUUGGAAGUCAAGUUUUGAGAAGAGCAUCAAACACUGCCUAGAUCAAGAUCUUAUUAGCAAAGUGUGCAAAAAAAAUGGGGCUUGGCAGGCAACAAAUAUAGAUAUAUCGAGAAGUAUCAAGCGUUAGCUCAUGCAAGCAUCAAGUUGGAAUUAUUGUAGAAGUUUAACCUUUCGCUAACCUUAAACUUUUAUAUGUUAUUGUAUUGAAAGAAUAUUUUAUUGAAAUAAAAAUAUUUG